rnacentral:lncRNA from 1 species
GUCCCCCCACUCCCUCACCAGCAACAGUCAUCUCCGAGGAGCUUCUUCUUCCUCAUCUCCCUUCUCCCGCCUACGCUGCCGCACUCUUGUCCAGGUUGCGCCGCCGCCUUCCACGGGUGCAGCAGACCGAACAACAGCAGCAGCACCAAGCAAGCCGCAGUUCAACGCCAACUUCAGCAACAUCAUUUUUUACUACAAGAGGUUAGUGAUAGUUAUGGUUUUAUAUUUAAAUGGAUGUUUAUGCAAUGGAUUAGGCUCAAAGAAAUAGAUACAGUGGUUCGGA